rnacentral:rRNA from 1 species
CAGCAGCCGCGGGAAAACGUAGGGUGCGAGCGUUAAUCGGAAUUACUGGGCGUAAAGCGUGCGCAGGCGGUUAUGUAAGACAGUUGUGAAAUCCCCGGGCUCAACCUGGGAACUGCAUCUGUGACUGCAUAGCUGGAGUACGGUAGAGGGGGAUGGAAUUCCGCGUGUAGCAGUGAAAUGCGUAGAUAUGCGGAGGAACACCGAUGGCGAAGGCAAUCCCCUGGACCUGUACUGACGCUCAUGCACGAAAGCGUGGGGAGCAAACGGGAUUAGAUACCCCAGUAGUCCCUGUCUCUUAUAC